rnacentral:tRNA from 1 species
GCGGGCGUAGUUCAAAGGUAGAACGAGAGCUUCCCAAGCUCUAUACGAGGGUUCGAUUCCCUUCGCCCGCUCCA